GAAAUUGCUUUUUGCAUUAAUUGUGGCUCUGCUGGCGGAUCCAUGGUGUUGGAGAACGAGCAGAUUCGCCAUUGUAUACAACAAUGGACAGCGCCUCGUUUGGAUUCACAAUGCAGAUAAAACUAGCGUGUGCUCAGGUGACUUCGCGUGCACUGCAGCUACCCGCGUGACAAACCGCACGCUCGCUUACACCACCGAUGCCGUGCGAGCCUGGAGGACCUGAAGCUGGAGGUUCACUACCAGCACCACCUUGCAAUGUAUCCCGCGCAUGUAGCGUGGAUGCGUGUAUGCCGUUUUCCACCACCGAAAGUGUUAUGAAUGAGGUGACAAAUAAGCUAGUAACAGUUAUCAAGGCGCUUAACCCGGUAAGAUCCAACCAAAUAUUUGUUUCGAAUUUUGAGCCAUCCUUACAUGAUUUUAAUGUGUGGUGUAAUGAGGUAGAAAAUCUGCAAAAUAUUAACCGAUGGGACGACCGUGAAUGUUUAGCGCGUAUAGGUCAUUGUCUAAAGGGUGAUGCUCGUGUCUGGCUUAAUGAGUGGACAACUAAUGAUCGCUCUUGGUCGAAUUUCAAGCGAAGUCGAAGUUGCAAUCAUUAUGCUCGCGUCGAGUAGAUAUUGCAAAUAUUCUUUUCGAUGUUCUAAAAACUGACUCAGAUCAGUAUUCCACAUAUGCCGAAUAUGCUAGACCUUCGUUACUACGUUUAAGAUUUGUUUGGGGUUUAAGUGAGGAACUAAUUUCUGCGAUUAUAGUGCGUGGCAUAACUGAGCCUCAAAUCCGGUCAGCUGUUAUGAAUAGGAAUUUGUUACCUAGUGAUAUAGUUAACUUUUUAUCAGUUUAUAUGAAACCUUAUUCGAAGGCACAGAUCAAAGCACGUUAUAAUAAUAAUCCUAACAAUAAAAACUAUUCGCACAAAAGAGAUUAUUCAGGUGCUAAGUCAAAAUGUUUUAUUUGUGGGGAGUUUGAACAUAAACAGACCACUUGCUCUAAACGUUUUAAACAAAUGACGAAUUUGAUAAAAAUCAGUUGUCAACUUUGAAGCGGUUUUAUACAGAUAGCUCAGUAUCAAGGUCUGAACCGUGUGGUUUUUGCAAAAAGAUAGGUCAUAAGGUCAUAUUGAAUCACGCGGACAAUCUAAUGUUAUUUUUAUCGCGAAGCUGUAAAUGAAUACAAGUUUAAUGAUAUUGCAACUGCAAUGAUUCAAGGGGUUCCUGUAGAUAUUCUUAUAGACAAUGGUUCUCAAAUCUCUUUAAUAGCGGAAUCGGUAACCAAACAUUUUCAGUGUACCCAAACCACUCCUUUUUGUACAUUGCGUGGUAUUGGAAGUGAACAUAUUGAGUCUAGCUUUUCUACAUUUACAUUAACUGUUGAAUUUCCUGAGAUUACACUUGAUGUAGAUUUCCAUAUGGUGCCCGAUCGAUAUUUGAGUAUUCCUGUAAUACUGGUACCGAUGUACUUAAUAGAGAGGGUGUGGUCUAUACCCGAAUGCGAGGUGCUCAAAGUUUAACGCGAUCCAAGACAGUUUUUGAUGUACAAUUGAGUGUGUAUCAAUUCAACAUUAAUACUGCUGUUAUUGGUAUUGAGAGAGAGCAUUUGCUUUCUGUAAUUAAUGAAUUUUCUAAUUUUCUCAUUACUGGUACGACCAUUACUACCGUUAUCACUGGAUCAAUGCAUAUUCGAUUGCACAAUAAAACACCCACAGUUUUUAUAGACCAUACAAAAUGUCCUAUCAUGAGAAAGUACGAGUCCGAGAGAUAGUUAAAGAUUUGCUCGACAAAGGAUAAUUAGAGAACUGGAAUCUGAGUUCUCUAGUCCCAUUCUUCUUGUGAAGUUGAUAGACGGUAGUGACAGAACGUGUGUGGACUUCCGUGAAUUAAAUGCAAAUACUGUUAGAGAUCGCUAUGCGCUACCACUUAUUAAAGACCGUAUAGAUCGUUUGGAUAAGGCCGUCUAUUUUACGAGCCUUAUUGACAUGGCUACAGGCUUUCAUCAAAUUAAAAUGAAUAGCGAAUCAAUUCAAUAUACGGGCUUCGUAACGCCUGAACGGCAUUGCGAGUAUCUUAAAGUGCCGUAUGGACUUGCCAACGCCCCUGUCGUAUACCAACGUAUUAUAAGUAAUACUCUACGACCUAAUGAUUUCUUAUGUUUACGCAGAAUGAGCUCACAGUGUCUUGCAAGUCUAGCAGCCGGUCUUUUGGGUCCCGAUUUAAUUAAAUGUAGAACUGGAUCCCAGGCUUGUGCAAGCUUCUAACCAUCUUCCCUAUGGAAUUCUACGACCUCUUAUUGAAUCUGGCAAGGUGCUUGUACAUAUCAAUGAUGUAUUAGUACCAAGCAUGACGGUCGAGGAAGGUUUGCAAACUCUCAGAGAGGUAUUAAGGACUUUGAUUACUGCAGGUUUUUCCAAUAAAUCUUAAGAAGUGUACUUUUAUUACGAAGGAGAUGGAAUAUUUGAGUUGUACAAUAAGUUUCGGUCAGGUAAAGCCGAGCGCGUAUAAAAUCGAAGCUCUAGUUAAAUCUUGUAUACCUAACAAUGUUAAGAAGGUGAGACAAUUUUUAGGUCUUGCUGGAGAUAAGUACAUACCUGGAUAUUCAUUGCGAACGGGAGGUAUCGCUAAUCUAUUCCGCAAAGGUGUGCAAUUGUAAUGGAGGUGGAAACUGCCCAUUUAACAAACACUUAUAUGUUUUAGGUAUCAUCGACAGCCCCCUUUGCAGGGAAUGUCUGUCGGAUGACGAAACAGCCUCCCAUGUUAUCCUGGAAUGCGGAGGAGUAGCUGCACAGCGGGCUGAAAUCCUCGCCACACCGGGGUCACUCCGAGAAGCCUGUGGAGGAACCAUGAAGAUCCUGCGCUUCUGGAAGGAGUGGGGCUGGCUAGACCCAGAGCCGGCAUUCUGCGCACAACGGCCCGAUCUACUAUGCGCUAAGUGUAUUUCGAGUAUCCCGAGGGCUCUACUCAUAGUGUAAUGCAUCCUGAGGGCUCUGCAUUUGUGGUACGCUCCGCACCCAAGGGGCGGCGGAUGUAGUACUGAUAACGCACCCUGAGGGCUCUGCGUUCGUUGGGUGUACAUCCCGAGGGCUCUGUACAUCCAUAUUUACUAGUAACCUGAGGGCUCUGCUAGUGUAGUUCUGAGAUAUCCUGAGGGCUCUGUCUCUUACUUUGCGUUUCUUGAAUUGUAUAUCCCGAGGGCUCUGUACAUUCAUACUAUCUAGUAACCUGAGGGCUCUGCUAGUGUAGUUCUGAGAUAUCCUGAGGGCUCUGUCUCUUACUUUGCGUUUCUUGAAUUGUAUAUCCUGAGGGCUCUGUACAUUCAUACUAUCUAGUAACCUGAGGGCUCUGCUAGUUUAGUUCUGAGAUAUCCUGAGGGCUCUGUCUCUUACUUUUUAACCAUUUAUUAAGUGACUUUUCUAAUAUAUAAAAAUGUGUUUUAAAGGUGAUGAGGAUGAGAUCGAAGAUCACAGAACGAGUGGAAGCAACGUUGAAAGUUCGUUGCAAGAAGUUGGGUUCAUGUUGACAAGUUGCAGCGGUCAUCCAGCCCAAGCCACAAUACGGGCGAGGACGCACCUUCUUCAGGAGAGGCCGAGUUAGCAAAUUCUUCUAGAAGACCGGGAGGCGUAGUUUAGCUGCAACUAUAACACGACCUUCUGCGAAUCUCCCGUAAAAAGUAGUCAAGCGACGACUAGUCAGAAAUCGCCGCCUAUAUUUAAUAGUCAACCCGCCAAAUUCGGCGCCAAAACGAAUGGUCUUAGAAAAACACCAUUAAAAAAGACUGUAUCUUUGCCGAGCAAUCAACCCACAUUGUUGAGCAAGUUUGGAUUCCAGAAGAAACCUGUGUUAAGAAAAAGUUGAAGAAUUUUACAACGAUAAAGAAGUGUGCAUUAUUUAAGUUUUAAGCAUUUGAAGAGUACAUUUAUUUAUAUUUAAUGACUAAGUAAACCAUACUUGGUAAUGUGUUAUAAUUAUGAUUGAAUUUGUGAUAGAAAUAAUGAUGUGAUAUAUUUUUAA